rnacentral:lncRNA from 1 species
UCGAACUCGUCGGCUUCUGCCAACUGGUUGCCAUCGAGCCAUUGGAUGGCCUGCUCGAUCGCAUCCUCAAUCUUCUUCUUGUCAGCAGCAGCAAGCUUGGAGGCAAUCUUGUCGUCGUUAAUGGUGUUCCUCAUGUUGUAAGCAUAAUUUUCCAGAGCAUUCUUCGAUUCCACCUUCUUUUUAUGCUCCUCGUCUUCUGACUUGUACUUCUCCGCUUCCUGCACCAUCUUCUCAAUCUCCUCCUUGCUGAGCCUACCCUUGUCGUUGGUGAUGGUGAUCUUGUUCUUCUGUCCAGUGGUCUUGUCCUCAGCAGAGACAUUCAAGAUACCAUUGGCGUCAAUGUCGAAGCAAACCGUGAUCUGAGGAACCCCCCUAGGCGCAGGUGGAAUCCCAGAGAGCUCAAAUUUUCCAAGCAGAUUGUUGUCUCUGGUCCGGGUCCUCUCUCCCUCAUAAACCUGGAUCAAGACACCCGGUUGGUUGUCUGAAUAGGUAGAGAACACCUGUUCCUUCUUCGUGGGAAUGGUAGUGUUCCUGGGAAUUAAGACGGUCAUAACUCCUCCAGC